rnacentral:rRNA from 1 species
GAGUUCAAGAGUACGUGAAACCGUUCAGGGGUAAACCUGAGAAACCCGAAAGGUCGAAAGGGGAAAUUCAUUCGCGUAUCGGCCGUCGGCGUUGAGCGUGUCGAGUGACGGAUGGCGUACGCGUCGUUCGCACCUUCCGUUCUUCGAACCGACGUCGAACGCGUGCACUUUUCCCCUAGUAGGACGUCGCGAUCCGUUGGGUGUCGGUCUAAGGCUCUCGCGGUGGAGCCCGCACGGUCGCUUUGCGGCGUGUACCGUGCGGACCCGCGGUGUCCCGGCCGACUCGCUCGACGGUAUACAGAUGGCGCGGGGCCGCUUUAUCCUUCUGCUACUUCACCGUAGCAGUAGUUAGCGUUCGGCACGUGGCAAGCGCAUUCGGUGUCUGACGGCGAUCGGACUUCGUGCCGGUCCUGUCCCCGAACGACUGUUGGCCACGUAGUUCUCGAACAGACCUCGCGUGUGUGUGCGUGUGCGUGCGCGUGAAUAACGUGCGCGCGCUCGUGCGCAUACCUAAACGCCGAUCUGCGACGCUAUAGCUUUGGGUACUUUCAGGACCCGUCUUGAA